GUACACGCUGUGACUAGCAUAUCAAUAAGCGGAGGAAAAGAAACUAACAAGGAUUCCCCUAGUAACGGCGAGUGAAGCGGGAAGAGCUCAAAUUUGAAAUCUUAAAGGGUUUCCCUUUACGAAUUGUAGUUUAAAGAAGUGUUUUCUGUUGAGGUUUUGGUAAAAGUUCUUUGGAAUAGGAUAUCAUAGAGGGUGAGAAUCCCGUAUUUGACCUUUACUUUCAACUUUGUGAUACACUUUCAAAGAGUCGGAUUGUUUGGGAAUGCAGUCCAAAAUGGGUGGUAAAUUUCAUCUAAAGCUAAAUAUUGGCGAGAGACCGAUAGCGAACAAGUACCGUGAGGGAAAGAUGAAAAGAACUUUGAAAAGAGAGUUAAACAGUACGUGAAAUUGUCAAAAGGGAAGCGUUUGACACCAGUGUUGUUUUUCUGAAAAUCAAUUAAAGAACUGUUUAUGCUAAGUUGUUUAGACUUUAUCAGCUAACUGUUUAGUUUUGAGCUUUUCUUUAAUGCACUUUUCAGUUAACAAGUCAACAUCAAUUUCUUUUGCUGUAAAAAAGCUUGAGGAAGGUGGCUUGAGAUUCGUCUUAAGUGUUUAUAGCCUCUUGCCUAUGCAGUCGGAGAGAUUGAGGUCUGCAGCGUAGAUCCUUCGGGGCUAAAUGCAUUUGUGCUAAGUUAUAGCAUUUUAUAGACAACUUGUUGACUAUGAUUUGUCCUGUAGCUUACUCGCUUAUGUUAUUUUACCUACGCUUAGGAUGUUGAGUCGUAGAGCACGCAG
rnacentral:rRNA from 1 species